GUGACGACCCCAUCGCCCCCUGGGUCACCUUCCCAGUGCAAUCAGUCUCCGCAGGGCAGCUUGUGGCGAGCUGUUGGGGAGUAGCGACCCCACGGACCUGAGUGCUCCCAGGGGAGGCCCCUGUUCCUCGCCUCCGAUCUUCCUUCGCCAAGGUCGGAGUGGAAACCGAUGAGGGACAGGACCCCUACCUCUGGCUUGCCUUAACCGGCCGGUCAGAGUGGAGUCGCGAGAGCUAUACGCUCGAAGGAUGGAAGUGUAAAAUGUCAUAACGCCGGGGGUGCCUGACUGGAUCACCACGAUUUCACGCCCCGCAGUCUCACCUCUCGACAUCCUUAGCCACCCACGCCGAUGUUGCCCCUUUGUUGCCUAUCAUGGUGACUGAUUUGAGGGGCCCAUUUAGUGAGUGGCGAGUCACCACCUGCCACAUAAUAGUCACGUAUUCAUGAUUAUGGCAGGUGUCCGAACUUCUCCAACAAUAGCCCAGUUUAAAUCCAUCCAAACGUCAACUCCAUAACCCAUAAUCCUUUUCCUUAUUUUGUAAUAGCUCCACCUCCUGCCGAGACCUGUUCAUGGACAUAUCAUCUAUUGAUAUGCCCGGGAACGGGUUUUGGCAGGAGAACAACAUAACAUCAACUUCUCCAAAGGGCCUCUACGUGUUGGAUUUAUAUCCCCACGCAAGCCUCUCAAAAAUCCGGGGUGUAUAGACCCGUGAAAUCUAAGAGGAGAAACAUAA